GUGCCUAUGACACUAGCACUUCUCGUCUUCAUGCGAGAGGCAGUGUGUGCCAGUGGUGAGCUUGUGCCUGCAUCUUCAUGCACUCUCAACGGCUUUCUGAGGAUCUGAUUAGUUAUCCCUUCGAAGGUUCUCUAAGGGUCUCCCACCACUUUUUGAAUGACUCAGGCUCUACAGGGGUCUUGUUAGUUAGCCCCGCCUCGGAGUCAUCGAGGU
rnacentral:lncRNA from 1 species